rnacentral:rRNA from 1 species
UUUAUGGAGAGUUUGAUCCUGGCUCAGGAUGAACGCUGGCGGCGUGCCUAAUACAUGCAAGUCGAGCGAACAGAUGAGGAGCUUGCUCCUUUGACGUUAGCGGCGGACGGGUGAGUAACACGUGGGUAACCUACCUAUAAGACUGGGAUAACUUCGGGAAACCGGAGCUAAUACCGGAUAAUAUUUCGAACCGCAUGGUUCG